CAGCAGCCGCGGUAAUACAGAGGUCUCAAGCGUUGUUCGGAAUCACUGGGCGUAAAGGGUGCGUAGGCCGCACGGUAAGUCAGAGGUGAAAUCCCGGAGCUCAACUUCGGAAUUGCCUCCGAUACUGCCGUGCUUGAGGACUGGAGAGGAGAUUGGAAUUCACAGUGGAGCAGUGAAAUGCGUAGAUAUUGUGAGGAACACUAGUGGCGAAGGCGAAUCUCUGGACAGUUCCUGACGCUGAGGCACGAAGGCCAGGGGAGCAAACGGGAUUAGAUACCCCGGUAGUCCUGGCAGUAAACGGUGCACGCUUGGUGUGGCAGGAAUCGACCCCUGCCGUGCCGGAGCUAACGCGUUAAGCGUGCCGCCUGGGAAGUACGGUCGCAAGAUUAAAACUCAAAGGAAUUGACGG
rnacentral:rRNA from 1 species